UCCUACGGGAGGCAGCAGUAGGGAAUCUUGCGCAAUGGGCGAAAGCCUGACGCAGCCAUGCCGCGUGAAUGAUGAAGGUCUUAGGAUUGUAAAAUUCUUUCACCGGGGACGAUAAUGACGGUACCCGGAGAAGAAGCCCCGGCUAACUUCGUGCCAGCAGCCGCGGUAAUAUCACC
rnacentral:rRNA from 1 species